rnacentral:rRNA from 1 species
UACAGAGGGUGCAAGCGUUAAUCGGAAUUACUGGGCGUAAAGCGUGCGUAGACGGUUAUUUAAGUCAGGUGUGAAAGCCCCGGGCUCAACCUGGGAAUUGCAUUUGAGACUGCAUCGCUAGAGUACGGUAGAGGGGGAUGGAAUUCCGCGUGUAGCAGUGAAAUGCGUAGAUAUGCGGAGGAACACCGAUGGCGAAGGCAAUCCCCUGGACCUGUACUGACGCUCAUGCACGAAAGCGUGGGGAGCAAACAGG